GACGAACGCUGGCGGCGUGCUUAACACAUGCAAGUCGAACGGAAAGGCCCUGCUUUUGUGGGGUGCUCGAGUGGCGAACGGGUGAGUAACACGUGAGUAACCUGCCCUUGACUUUGGGAUAACUUCAGGAAACUGGGGCUAAUACCGGAUAGGAGCUCCUGCUGCAUGGUGGGGGUUGGAAAGUUUCGGCGGUUGGGGAUGGACUCGCGGCUUAUCAGCUUGUUGGUGGGGUAGUGGCUUACCAAGGCUUUGACGGGUAGCCGGCCUGAGAGGGUGACCGGCCACAUUGGGACUGAGAUACGACCCAGACUCCUACGGGAGGCAGCAGUGGGGAAUAUUGCGCAAUGGGCGGAAGCCUGAUGCAGCAACGCCGCGUGCGGGAUGACGGCCUUCGGGUUGUAAACCGCUUUCGCCUGUGACGAAGCGUGAGUGACGGUAAUGGGUAAAGAAGCACCGGCUAACUACGUG
rnacentral:rRNA from 1 species